rnacentral:rRNA from 1 species
UACGUAGGUGGCGAGCGUUAUCCGGAUUUACUGGGUGUAAAGGGCGUGUAGGCGGGUCUGCAAGUCGGAUGUGAAAUUCCCAGGCUUAACUUGGGCGGGUCAUCCGAAACUGCGGAUCUUGAGUACUGGAGAGGAUAGUGGAAUUCCUAGUGUAGCGGUAAAAUGCGUAGAUAUUAGGAGGAACACCAGUGGCGAAGGCGGCUAUCUGGACAGUAACUGACGCUGAGGCGCGAAAGCGUGGGGAGCAAAC